UCAUCAUUCAUAACCAUAGAUCUGUGCCCACAGCGCUCCCACGCCUCGGUGUGGUUGCAGUGCUCGUGGUGCAAUUCGACGCAUCCUAUGGAGCCAUCUAUCUGCAUUCCCAUGAUGUCAAUCUUCCCGUCGACAGAUCUAAGAACAAGACUCUCGCACGGCUUUGCUUGAAUUCUUCGUGAGUUCGCUGGCCGUGUUGGGACGUGCGCCUUAUUCUAUCCGUUCUCGAGUCGGCAAUUUGUCGGUGAGGAUUAAGGGGGAAACCAAGGCAGCAUAUAUUA
rnacentral:sRNA from 1 species